rnacentral:rRNA from 1 species
GAUGAACGCUAGCGGCAGGCUUAAUACAUGCAAGUCGAGGGGCAGCACGAAUAGCAAUAUUUGGUGGCGACCGGCAAACGGGUGCGGAACACGUACGCAACCUUCCCGAAACAGGUGAAUAGCCCUCCGAAAGGAGGAUUAAUACACCGUAAGAUAUAGAUGUGGCAUCACAUAGAUAUUAUAGGUCGCAAGAUCGGUUUUGGAUGGGCGUGCGCCUGANAGGUAGUUGGCGGGGUAACGGCCCACCAAGCCUCCGAUCAGUAACUGGUGUGAGAGCACGACCAGUCACACGGGCACUGAGACACGGGCCCGACUCCUACGGGAGGCAGCAGUAAGGAAUAUUGGUCAAUGGACGCAAGUCUGAACCAGCCAUGCCGCGUGAAGGAUGAAGGCCCUCUGGGUUGUAAACUUCUUUUAUCUGGGACGAAAAAGGUUUUUAACUCACUUGACGGUACCAGAGGAAUAAGCACCGGCUAACUCCGUG